UUGUGGGGGAGGACGCCGAAGGUGGGGCUAAUGACUGGGGUGAAGUCGUAACAAGGUAGCCGUACCGGAAGGUGCGGCUGGAUCACCUCCUAACAGGGAGACAACAAAAUGUUAAAUAUUAAUUUUGUCACCUUAGGUCGAUCGGUAUCUCAGGUUCUUAAUUACUUUAAGAAUUUCAUUUCCUAAGUUUUUUCUAGGUCACACCCAUUACUUUCCCUGGGCCAUUAGCUCAGGUGGUUAGAGCGCACCCCUGAUAAGGGUGAGGUCCCUGGUUCAAGUCCAGGAUGGCCCAUACCUCUAUGUUGGGGGUAUAGCUCAGUUGGUAGAGCGCCUGCUUUGCAAGCAGGAUGUCAGCGGUUCGAGUCCGCUUACCUCCACUGAUUACCACCUCUUUCAUAAAAGAAGGGAAUAGUUAUGAGUAUUGAUUUUCAUCUGAACGAAUCUAGCUUCCUAAUAAAUACAUUAAGAUGCUGGACUCAUUGAAUUUUAUUCAUUGUUUUCAGAGAACCUUGACAACUGCAUAGAUUAUUUUUAAAGACAAUAAGCAUCUUUAAUGAUGCAGAUUUAUUAUUUGUGCUAAUGCAUUAAUAACAAUUCUAUUGAGCUGAUGCUUCAAUUUUUGAAGUUAUUGGUCAAGCUACAA
rnacentral:misc_RNA from 1 species